AAGGGGACAAGAUGCAUCUUUGUGUUGCUUCUACUAAGGAUAAAACGAUGGUGUUUAUUCAUAUUGUUUGAGCUUACUUUGUCUACAUCAUGUCAACUUACUCCAUGCAUUACUUCGUUCAUCAUGAACUUAAUACGUAGGGAGGCAAGCAUAGAAGUGCUCUUGAAGUGAAGUAAUUGUAAUAUGUGCAGGAAGUAGCCAGCCUAUUUUUUAUGGACAUUAUUCCUAUGUACACGCGAUCAGUGCCAUGAAUAUCACAUAACUAUCCGCUAUUCUGUCAAUUGCCCAACAGUAAUGUGUUUACCCAUCAUAUGCUAUUUUUCCAUGAGAGAUGCCAUUAGGGAAAGCUAUGGCCCCCGGCUCUACACACAACAUAUUAAUAAAACCUUAAUUACCUUGUUGUUAUUCACUUGUUUUCAUUUUAUCUUGCUAUCUACAAUUAUCUACAGACCUCACUUGCUUGCAAAUAACAAGACAAGAGGAUUGACAACCCUCUUGCUCGCGUUGGGUCCAAGUUGUUUGUUCUUUUCUGUGCAGCCGGUGAAGAUGGUUGUGGUUGAUAUUACUAU
rnacentral:lncRNA from 1 species